GUCCCGUGAUGUGAUGGUGUCGGCAGAUGGCACAGCACGUGCAGAUGCCUCGAGGCCCUGAGCUGGAGACCAGAGGGUGGAGCGGGCAGGAUGAGGAAUUGCGGGGCCAGAUCUGGGAGACUGGAUGGAAACUCCCGAGAAUAAACACGAAGGGAUAGGAGUCUGCUGAAGUGAAAGGAGACGCAGAAGCACAGGAGGCCAGGUCUCGGGGUGAAGCAGCAACUCCAGAGCACUCCCUUUUGGGGCCUCUUAGAUUUGUUACCCUAUUUGUGGUCCACUUGGAACAGAGUUGAGCUUCCAGAAGUACUUUUUUUUUUUUUUUCUUCAUAAGGUGGGCUCAGGAAGGUCGAGAAAGAUGGAGGCUGUGGACCCAAGAAGCUAGUCCCAGGGGUGCCUUGGAAGCUGCUUCCUGGAGACGUUGUCAGGUCACGGAAGCAUCUGAAUCCGAGACGAUGAAGUCCUGUCCCGUGGAAUGUCCACAAGGAAGGACCACUAGGCCCAAGUGAACCUUUUGCUGAAAGACCAGCCACAGAUGGGCGGCUGACCAGAGGCCUUGACAAUGACUACUGAUAUGGUGCAAGAAGAUGAGCUGGACCAAUCCGAUGUCCCCCUUUUUCCUUCUGGGCAUUCGAACUCAGAAAUAGCCAGAAUGUUUGUCCAAUCCUUGAUGGAAAGAAGUACAUGGCUGGCUGUGAGCACUUUACAUGUUCUCAAAUCAAAUGCUUCUAGCUAGGUUUCCUGUGGUGGCUAAAAUACUUUCUUUGGGGGUUCACUGUGCAUUUAUUAACCAUUCUAUUUUUGUACCAUACAAAUUAUCCUUGCUGAUGGUUGAAUGGCUGGAUUUGGGGAAGGGUGGUAGCCCUAAUAGAAUUAAUUAAUUGAAUAAUAUUGCCUGACAAAUGGCUCUGUAUACCAAAGAGGGAUUGAGACUUAAUUACUGAUGUCAUUUAUCUCUCUAUUUGCACCCCAACAAUAAGUGACUCGUUUCUCAUUAACGUUGGGUCAUCUUCCAAAAGGAAGAAAAGAGGCCAAAAUAUCAGGGAGGGAAAAAAAAAUUCGAUGUCUUUGUUCCCCACCUCAUUAUCCUGAUAACUCAUAACAGACUCUGUUAAUUAAAUGGGCAGCUUUAACUGGCUGACUCCUGUCCAGCAAUUACCUCAGAGAGAAGCACCACUGGGGGCAUUUCCUUCCCUUGGGAGGAUAUGAAAGGAAGUCUGUAUCAGAGGAAGGGAUCGUUUCCCUGGCCAUGCUGGGGGGAUCACAGUUGUCAAGGCGAAUUUCUGGACUGAAGGGCUGGAGCUGUUUCAGGGGUGUCCCAUUAUGGUGACGGCGGGGUGUCUGACGCUGCCCUCCUAAUCUAAGGCUUAGGUCAUUGUCCCCGGUGCCUCCAAUCCCCCCGGGAAGAUUAGAGCCUAAUUAAACAGGGGAACAGGUGUAAGAGGGCCUGAUUUAAUCUGGCCAAAUUAAUUGCUGAGAUUGGGCUUGCAUUUGGUAACUGGAAACAGUGAAUUAACUACAGCUGGAAUACAGCUAAUCCCUCAGUAUUGCUGUGUCUGUGUGUAAAACAGACUGGACUUGCUGGGAACACAAACAAAGAGGGAUUUGAAGGAAAGGUACAAUGCAUCCUUGCCUGGGAAAGGCUGGAUAAUGAGCCUCGCCACAGACGGUGGCCGUAAGUCUCAGACUGCGUGCCUAGGACAGUCCUGGUUUAUGCCUGUUGUCCCUGCAAAAUUAUUAAUGGUGCCCCCCUUUCAUUCUUAUAAAACAAUCCCAGUUUGGACUAUAAAUAAAUAGUUACCGUACUUCAA